CUUUAACUCACCAGACGCCUCAGCUGAUAGGAGAUACAAAGACAACGAGCACGCCACACCUUCUACCUGUCGCUUCAACACCAACACCAACACCAACGUUUGCUCUCCCCUCUGGGUCUUGGCCUUUGUGGGAGACAUCGACGCCGGUUUCCUCAGUACCUCUGGAUCUACUAUCCGGACCGUUCCCUGCUGAAGACUCGACGUCGGCAUCUGGGCUAUCCGCACCUCCACAGCCACCGUCGCCGACACCAUCAGCACCGCCAGCAACCACAGACAAUCCGCGGACAUCGCCCCGGAUACCAAAACAAAAAGAAAGAAAUACUUGUGUCUGUGUGUGUGUGUGUGCGCGUACG